CCCUAUGGGGCGCCGCAGGCUGGUGACGUUCGCUGCAUCGUUCCUGGCGGUGUUGUUCAUGUUCAUCGCCUCGCGCGGGGACAGCUCGAUCAAACCGCUGAUGCCCGCCUUGCAAAGCCCCUGGAUGAGCGUGCAUGUGAUCACCUACUUUGUCGGCUACGGGGCGUUCAGCCUGGCCUGUAUGCUCGGCAUACUGUAUCUCAUGCUUGGGCGUAAAAUGAAGGCCGCCGGCCAGCUGGCUGCGGCGAUUGAAGAGUUGUCUUACCGGCUGGUCGCGCUGGGGUUCCCUUUUCUUACGAUCGGCAUGACCACCGGGUCGAUGUGGGCAAAUUCAGCCUGGGGUACGUAUUGGAACUGGGACCCGAAAGAAACCUGUUCGUUGAUCACCUGGCUGGUUUAUAUCAUCUACCUGCACCUGCGUGCGCUUAAGGGGUGGCGGGAGAGC
rnacentral:rRNA from 1 species